UUCUAGAAUAAUUAUUAUGUCAAGACUUUGCUAUCGUUAAGAAUAUCUGGGUUUGUGUUUUUAAGACCUAAGCUAGAAGAGUACAAGCCCUGGAUAUAAAUACCUAUUUAACAGUGAACAUAUGUUUGUGAAUUAAGAAUAAUAAAACUGUUUUGUGUUUGCGUGCGUGCGUGUGUGUGUGGUUGAUGCACCCAAUCAAUACUUAGGCUAAGCACACUAACCACACACAACACAAGAGUGAAUGUGUAAACUACAGUAUGAGAAUUUGUCAAUACUAGGAUUGAAGAAACUGUAAAUGAUAUAAAUAGACAAAUACCUCUCCUUCUCUCCAGUCUCAUUGUCUCUCCUGCAGUGCGGCUGUAGUUCCAAAGGAGGAUCAGGUUCUGGAGAAGGGCACGGUGCAGAACGGUUGCCAUGACGAUCACACGACCAAUAGCAGCAAGGACACCUCAUCUCUCAAAUGUCCCUCCCAGGCCCCCUUAGGCUGCAGCCCUAAGGCCCUGAACGGUCUGCUGAGCCCCAGGCUGGAGGAGCCCCUGACCAACAGCCAGACGUCCCUGUGUGAGAUGCUCCAGGAGAAGGAGAAGAAGUGGGGUGGAGGGGCCAUGGGGAUUGACCACUCUGCUCUCAUCCCCCUGCGCUCCAAGAACUUCAGAGAGAGGAGCGACGCUCACUUUGUGGAUGUUAUCAAAGAGGACAGUCUGAUGAAGGACUACUUUUUCAAGCCUCC